rnacentral:sRNA from 1 species
GCUGCAGCAAAAUCUGCAGCCGGGCGUAGGAACCCGUUUAACCAGACGACGCACAACACGCGCCAGCGUGUUUUUU